rnacentral:rRNA from 1 species
UAAAACAUGUUUUUUUGUUUAUUUAUUUAAGAUUGGCCCUGCUCAAUGAUAUUUAAAUAGCCGCGGUAAUUUAACUGUGCAAAGGUAGCAUAAUAAUUAGUCUUUUAAUUGAGGUYUGGAAUGAAUGGGUUGACGAGGAAAUAACUUUAUUAAUUUAAUUUUGUUAAAAUUAAUCUUUAAGUUAAAAAGCUUAAAUUUUUGAUUGGGACGAUAAGACCCUAUAGAUCUUUAUUUUUUUUUUUAUAAAAUUAAUUUAGUAUAUAAUUAUUUUUUUGAAAAGUAAAAAUUUUGUUGGGGUGACAUAUAAAAUUUUAAACUUUAUUUUUUCUUUUACUUUUAUUUUUGGUUUAUUUGAUCCUUAAUUUUGGAAUUUAGAUUAAGAUACCUUAGGGAUAACAGCGUUAUAUAUUUGGAGAGUUCAAAUUGAUAAAUAUGUUUGCGACCUCGAUGUUGGAUUAAAUUUAAUUGUGGGGUAGGUUUUACAAUGUUAGGUCUGUUCGACCUUUAAAAUUUUACAUGAUCUGAUUCAAAACCGGA